rnacentral:rRNA from 1 species
GACGAACGCUGGCGGCGUGCUUAACACAUGCAAGUCGAACGGAAAGGCCCUGCUUGCCGGGUACUCGAGUGGCGAACGGGUGAGUAACACGUGGGUGAUCUGCCCUGCACUUCGGGAUAAGCUUGGGAAACUGGGUCUAAUACCGGAUAGGAGCCAUCUUUAGUGUGGUGGUUGGAAAGUUUUUUCGGUGUAGGAUGAGCUCGCGGCCUAUCAGCUUGUUGGUGGGGUAAUGGCCUACCAAGGCGGCGACGGGUAGCCGGCCUGAGAGGGUGUACGGCCACAUUGGGACUGAGAUACGGCCCAGACUCCGACGGGAGGCAGCAGUGGGGAAUAUUGCACAAUGGGCGCAAGCCUGAUGCAGCGACGCCGCGUGGGGGAUGAAGGCCUUCGGGUUGGAAACUCCAUUCGCUAGGGACGAAGCUUUUUGUGACGGUACCUAGAUAAGAAGCACCGGCUAACUACGUG